rnacentral:lncRNA from 1 species
AGUCAUCUCUCUAGCCCAAUGAGGUCUCAUUUAUUAAUCGUUGAUCUUAAUGCUUGUGCUAUAGGUGUUUUCUGUUCAGAAAGUUGUCUCCUGUACCAGUGUGUUCAAGGCUAUUACCCACUUUCUCUUCUGUCAGGUUCAAUGUGUCGGUUUUAUGUUGAGGUCUUUGAUCUAUUUGGACUUGAGCUUUGUGUGCAGGGUGAUUAAAUAUGGAUCUAUUUGCAUUUUUCUACAUGCAGAUACUUAUACUAGUGCUAUUUGUUGAAGAUGCUUUCUGUUUUCAUUACGUCUUUCUGGCUUCUUUGUCAAAAAUCAAGUAUCCAUAGGUGUGUGGAUUUACUUCUGGGUCUUCAAUUCCAUUCCAUUAAUCAACGUGCCUUUAUAUGCCAGUACCAUGUGUGGGUGUUUUGUUUUUUGUUUUUUAAAUAUAGCUCUGUAGUAGAGCUUGAAAUCAGAGAUAACCGCAUAAAGUUCUUUAAUUGUUGAGAGUUGUUUUAGCAUCCUGGUUUGUUUUGUUUUGUUGUUUUUCAUAUGAAGUUGAGUUGUCUUUUCAAGGUCUAUAAAGAAUUGUGUUUGGGAUUCCAUUGAAACCCUAGUUUGCUUUUGGUAGAAUGACCAUUUUUACUAUUUUGAUCCCACCAAUCCAUGAGCAUGAGAGGUCUUUCCACCUUCUGAUAUCUUCAAUUUUUUUUUCUUCAAAGACUUGAUGUUUUUAUAAUGUAAGUCUUUCGCUUGUUUGAUGAGAGUUAACUCCUACAUAUUUUAUAUAAUUUGUGGCUAUUAUGAAGGGUGUUGUUUUUCUUAUUUCUUUCUAAAUCUGUAUAUCAUUUUUAUAUAGGUGGAUUGCUUUAUAAUAAAUAAAUAUAUUUUAUAUAUUUAUUGAGUUGAUCUUAUAUCCAGCCACUUGAAUGAUCUAGCAGGGAACUUCUACAUUAUGAGCUGUAGAAGUUCCCUGCUAGAAUUUUUAGGGUUGCUGAAGUAUCAUCUGUGAAUAGAGAUACUUUGAUUUCUUCUUUCCAAUUUGUAUCCCUUGAUCUCAUUUAGUUGCCUCAUUACUCUGGCUAGAACUUCAGUUACUAUAUUGAAUAAAUAGGAGGAAGUAGACAGCCUUGUCUUGUUCCUGAUUUUAGUGGAAUUGCCUUGAGUUGCUCCUCGUUUAAUUUGAUGUUAGCUAUAGACUUGCUGUAAAUUGCCUUAAUUAUAUUUAGUUAUAUUUCUUGUACUCCUACUCCAAGACUUUUAUUGUGAAUGGGUGUUGGGUUUUGUCAAAGGCUUUUUCCUGCAUCUAAUGAGAUUUUCAUGUUUUUUUUUCUUUCAGUUUGUUUAUUUGGAGGAUUACAUUGACUUACUUUGUUAUAUUGAAACAUUCCUGAAUCUCUAGGAUGAAGUCCACUUGAUCAUGGUGGAUGAUCUUUUUGAUGUGUGCAUAGAUUCAGUUUACGAAUAUUUUAUUAAGUAGUUUUGCAUCUAUGUUCAUGAGAGAAAUCUAUCUGUAAUUCCCUUUCUUUAAGUUGGGUAUCAGGGUGAGUGUGACCCUCAAAAAAUUUGACAAUGUUUCUUUUUUCUUUUUUCCAUAAUUGAAUAGAACUGCAUGACAUUUUAUUUAGGUUCCAAAUACAAAUGCAUCAGUGUUUCUUUUGUUUCUCUUUUUGGACUAAUUUGAGGAGUAUUAGUGUUACCUCUUCUUUGAAAGUCUGAUAGAAUUCUUCACUAAAACUGUCUACCUUGGGCUUUUUGUGAUUGGAAAACUUUCAAUGACUGCUUCUCUUUCUUUAUGGGGUUAUAGGUCUAUUUAAAUUGGGUUUCUCAUCUCACUUAAUUUUGGGAAAUGGAAUCUAUCAAGGAAAUUAUCCAUUUAUUUUAGGUUUUACAAUUUUGUGGAGUACAGAUUUUUAAUGUAUGACCUAAUGAUUCUUUGCAUUCCCUCAGUGUCUGUUGUUAUGUUGCCUUUUUUUUCAUUUCUGAUUUUGUUGAUUUGGAUAUUCUUUCUCUACCUUUUAGUUUGUUUGGAUAAGGAUUUGUCUAUCUUGUUGAUUCCCCCCUCCUCAAUGAACAAACUCUUUGUGUCAUUGAAUCUUUGUAUUGUUCUUUUUGUUUCUUGCUUACUGAUUUUAGUGAUUAGUUUAUUUGCUAUCCACUCUUCAUGCUUAUGCUUGCUUCUUUUUGUUCUAGAGCUUUCAGGUGUGCGGCUACGUCACUAGUAUGAGAUCGCUCCAAUUUUUAUAUGUAAACACUUAGUGCUACACACUUUCCUCUUAACACCACUUUCCUUGUGUUGCAUAAGUUUGAGUAUGUUGGCUCUUAUUCCUGCUCCCGCUUGUUUCUCUCUUGCCCUCUUGGACUCUUUCCUUUCCCCUUCCCUUCUUCCCUCUCUCUCCAUGUGGCCAUGGCCGGCCUCUACUUUGCUUCUCACUCCCUCUCUCUGCCUUUCUCUGCCUCUACUACCCUCUUAACUCCCCUCCCCAUGCCCUAAAUAAAUUCUAUUCUAU